UCCAAAUGUCUAUUUUGCACUGUAAGAAAAGAUGACCUUAAAAUUUCUGUGGAUUUGCAGGGACUCAGAACAUCCAAAAAAUCCUGAAGAAGAACACAUUUUCAGGGCUGACAAUUCUAGAUUUCAAAACUCACUGGGACACCUGGUCGGCUCAGUUGUUUGGGCGUCCGACUUCCGUUCAGGUCAUGUUCUCACAACUGGUAAGGAUGGUCCUCGGUGAUCCAAAGCAGCCUCUGAGCCUAUGUCCACACGUUUGGAUCAGCUUCCAAGCAGCUUCGCCUCCAUCCCUGCCCCAUCACCCAUGAGUGUGGGUGUUUGCAAGUUCUUUCUGCCAGCCCGUGCUGGCUCAGACACCCUCCUUGUCCGCAUCUCUGAAGAAUCUAAUAGACUCAUUUUCACCC